rnacentral:rRNA from 1 species
CCUACGGGUGGCAGCAGUGGGGAAUAUUGGGCAAUGGAGGAAACUCUGACCCAGCAACGCCGCGUGAAUGAUGAAGGUCCUCGGAGUGUAAGGUUCUUUUCUACGGGAAGAAGAAAGUGACGGUACCUUAGGAAUAAGCCUCGGCUAACUACGUGCAAGCAGCCGCGGUAAUACGUAGGAGGCGAGCGUUAUCCGGAAUGACUGGGCGUAAAGGGUGCGUAGGUGGUUCGGCAAGGUAGUAGCGUAACUCCAAGGCUCAACCUUGGAACUACUACUAGAACUGGUGGACGUGAGUGCAGGGGGGGCAUCCGGAAUUCGUGGUGUAGCGGUGGAAUGCGUAGAUAUUAGGAGGAACACCAGUGGCGAAGGCAGGUUGC